AGUGAACGCUGGCGGUAGGCCUAACACAUGCAAGUCGAACGGCAGCACAGUAAGAGCUUGCUCUUACGGGUGGCGCGUGGCGGACGAGUGAGGAAUACAUCGGAAUCUACUUUUUCGUGGGGGAUAACGUAGGGAAACUUACGCUAAUACCGCAUACGCCCUACGGGUGAAAGCAGGGGAUCUUCGGACCUUGCGCGAUUGAAUGAGCCGAUGUCGGAUUAGCUAGUUGGCGGGGUAAAGGCCCACCAAGGCGACGAUCCGUAGCUGGUCUGAGAGGAUGAUCAGCCACACUGGAACUGAGACACGGUCCAGACUCCUACGGGAGGCAGCAGUGGGGAAUAUUGGACAAUGGGCGCAAGCCUGAUCCAGCCAUACCGCGUGGGUGAAGAAGGCCUUCGGGUUGUAAAGCCCUUUUGUUGGGAAAGAAAAGCAGCAGGUUAAUACCCCGCUGUUCUGACGGUACCCAAAGAAUAAGCACCGGCUAACUUCGUG
rnacentral:rRNA from 1 species